rnacentral:rRNA from 1 species
UACAGAGGUCUCAAGCGUUGUUCGGAUUCAUUGGGCGUAAAGGGUGCGUAGGCUGUGAGGUAAGUUGGAUGUGAAAUCCCGGGGCUCAACCCCGGAACUGCAUUCAAUACUGUUUCACUAGAGUACUGGAGAGGAGAUUGGAAUUCACGGUGUAGCAGUGAAAUGCGUAGAUAUCGUGAGGAAGACCAGUGGCGAAGGCGAAUCUCUGGACAGUUACUGACGCUGAGGCACGAAGGCCAGGGGAGCAAACGGG